AUGGCAGAAUGCUUCAAUAAGGUGCUCAAGGGUGUACGUGCAUUAUCCGUGACGGCAAUAGUUCAAUACACAUUUGAAAAGAUGAAUGGAUACUUUUUAAAGUACUCAAUGGAGACUGAUAAGCAGAUUGCUGGUGAGAACAAGGAUAAGCACAAGUACAAUUUCCCACCAAAGGUUGAAGAAUGGUUGGAAUUUCAAUCACGAAAGGCAGACUCCCAAGAAGCUGUACUAUAUGACGACAACGAGUGGAAGUAUGAGGUGAAAGAGCCUGGAGGAACCACAAACGAUGGCCACCAACACGGAGGCCGGGCUUUCAAGGUCUCCCUAACACGGUGUGAUUGCAUCUGCAUGAGGCCAUAGUUGCUUCAUCUCCCAUGCUCGCACUUGUUAAAUGCAUCCCGGGUUAGGAAUGUGGACGUCAAUCACCCUCUUACAGUGCAGCGCCUUGCCCUUAGGCGCUGCACACCUGGACAUGCCAGUCCAGAGAGCAACAAAAGCAUUCCAGUAGCUUUUCCUCCUAAAAAUUUGCUAAGUCCGUGUGCAGUGCCUAAGGGCAAGGCGCCACACUAUACUGUGCAGCGCCGAGCUGUUGGGCGCUGCACAGUAGAAUGCAGCGCCUUGCCCUUGGGUGCUGCACACUGA
rnacentral:rRNA from 1 species